rnacentral:lncRNA from 1 species
CGCCCGACGUCUUGUGUGGAAGUUUAAUGCAAUAAUCAUAAAUAGUUUCUGAGGAAGUUUUAAGCAAUAACCAUUUAUUGUUUCUGAGACACGGCGGGACAUGUGAACCCCCCCCCCCCCCCCCCCAACCCUGUUUUUUUUUUACAAAUAUCACUAAAAUAAAAUUUUGAAUCAAACCAAAAAGUAUACAGAUCUUUAAAUUAGUAUAACAAAGAAGUGUGUACAGUUUAAAGCAAUAAUCAUAAAUUGUUUUUGAGAUACGGAGCGACAUGUAAAAAAAACCCUCCCCUUUUUUACAAAAUACUCAAUAACUCAAAAAUAAAAUGUUGAGUCAUCACCAAAAAGUAUACAGAUCUUUAGAUUAAUAUAACAAAAAAGUGUGUAAAGUUUUAAGCAAUAAUCAUAAAUCGUUUUUGAGAUACGGCACGACAUGUAUAAAAACCCUCCCCCUUUUUUACAAAAUACUCAAUAACUCAAAAAUGAAAUUUUGAAUCAUCACCAAAAAGUAUACAGAUCUUUAGAUUAAUAUAACAAAGAAGUGUGUAAAGUUUUAAGCAAUAAUCAUAAAUCAUUUUUGAGAUACGGCGCGACAUGUAAAAAAACCCUCCCCCUUUUUUACAAAAUACUCAAAAACUCAAAAAUGAAAUUUUGAAUCAUCACCAAAAAGUAUGCAGAUAUUAAGAUUAAUAUAACUAAGAAGUGUGUAAAGUUUUAAGCAAUAAUCAAGAAACGUUUUUGAGAUACGGUGCGACAUGUGAAAAAAAGCACACCCCUGUUUUAGUUACAAAGUGCCGUAACUCAAAAAGUUUAAAUCUUAUUUUCACCAAAAAGUAUAACAGAUCAUUUGACCAUCAUAAGAAACAACUAUAUUAAGUUUCAUGAAAUUUGGAUAAGUCGUUCUCAAGUUAAUUUGCG